GUGCCAGCAGCCGCGGUAAUACGUAGGUGGCAAGCGUUGUCCGGAUUUACUGGGCGUAAAGGGUGCGUAGGUGGAUAUUUAAGUCAGAUGUGAAACCCCUGGGCUCAACUCAGGGACUGCAUUUGAAACUGGAUAUCUGGAGUGCAGGAGAGGUAAGUGGAAUUCCUAGUGUAGCGGUGAAAUGCGUAGAGAUUAGGAAGAAAACCAGUGGCGAAGGCGACUUACUGGACUGUAACUGACACUGAGGUACGAAAGCGUGGGUAGCAAACAGGAUUAGAUACCCUGGUAGUCCACGCCGUAAACGAUGAGUACUAGGUGUAGGGGGUAUCGACUCCCUCUGUGCCGCAGUUAACACAAUAAGUACUCCGCCUGGGAAGUACGAUCGCAAGAUUAAAACUCAAAUGAAUUGGCGG
rnacentral:rRNA from 1 species